rnacentral:tRNA from 1 species
GCUGCGGUAGCUCAGUGGUAGAGCACUCCCUUGGUAAGGGAGUAAGGGAGGGCUCCCGCUCGCUGCU